rnacentral:rRNA from 1 species
CCCUUAGAUGUCCUGGGCCGCACGCGCGUUACACUGAUGCAUUCAACGAGCUUAUAACCUUGGCCGAGAGGCCUGGGCAAUCUUGUUAACGUGCAUCGUGAUAGGGAUAGAUUAUUGAAAUUAUUAAUCUUGAACGAGGAAUUCCUAGUAAACGCAGAUCAUCAAUCUGCAUUGAUUACGUCCCUGCCCUUUGUACACACCGCCCGUCGCACCUACCGAUUGGAUGGUCCGGUGAAUAAUUCGGACCGAUGCAGUGCUCAGCUUCUGAACUUUGCAUUGGAAAGUUUAGUGAACCUUAUCACUUAGAGGAAGGAGAAGUCGUAACA